UCCCUGGUGGCUCAGUCAAUAAAGAACCCACCUGCAAUGUGGGAGACCUGGGUUCAAUUCCUGGGUUGGGAA
rnacentral:tRNA from 1 species